CAGCCCUAGCCUCAAUCCACAGCCGCCAUGCCCUCACUCCUCCUCCUCGCUACCACUCCCUUCCUGCUCCUCCUCGCGGCCGCACUCUCUCCCUCCUCACCACGGCACCCAUAGGCGGCUCCCUCCUCACCAUGGCCCCACCAUAGGCGGCUCCCUCCUCACCAUGGCCCCACCAUAGGCGGCUCCCUCCUCACCAUGGCCCCACCAUAGGCGGCUCAUGCGGUGGUGGAACGGACGGCGGCCUCAGCGUGUGGGCGGCGGCGGCGGCGUAUCUGGUGAACGAGCCCGCACCUCCCUGCCCUCCUCAUCACCCCUUCCCUCCUCGGCUUAAUGGGAGGUUCGCCGGGCAUGCCGCCUCUUCUGCCCAGCAGGACGAGCACGAGCUUUUCAUGUUGUCUCAACUCUCAAUGCAGUGUAGAAGUUGAUUGAGAUGCCUCUCUGAAUCUCUGAUAUGAUGUUUUGCUUCCUCUGAAAUAGUGAUCAGAAUGUAAAUUUUCAAGGAAAAUACCAUUCGGUUCAUACUAAGAAAUUGGCAAGAUUUAGUUACAUGGAUAUCAAAUUUUAAGACUAAGCUUCGCUCAAUCCAUCUCUCUCUCUGUUGCCUACCGCCACACGCGGAUGGUAGUGGUUCAGUUUCCUGUAACAUUUAGCAUCUCUACAUUUUAAUCCUGUAUAGCUGGAUCCAAAAAAAAAUAUAGAGGUCAAGGUCUAUUUAGUAUUAGUUUGAUGGCUUAAUUUGCAAGAGAAAUGAAGUGUAUAGUUUAUGAUUCUUAAUUUUUCUUCAGUUGUUUUUGGUUGAAUUGCUUACCUAGGCAUUCGUAUUUUGUUACACGAAUCUGCAGUAUGCUCUUAUGCUUUUAGCCAUACCCAUCUCAUUUUGUUUUUUGGUAUAAUUGCCUACCUAGGCAUAAAAAUGGGAUCUGCACACGUCUUAUUUAGAUCCCUGGGUUCUCAGCCAUGUUGACUUCUGAAUAGUUAUUCAUUGAUGUUUUCUUAUGUUCUUUUGUUAGCACAUGUGCAUUAGUUAGGUAUGCAUGUAUGUAAGGAAAAUUUGUUAGCGAUGAUUCAGUUGUUUUGGUUCAGUUUGAAGGGCACUCCAGGCUUAAGAUCUUUAGUUUCAUUAGAACUACCAAUUACUUUGCUUAGCUGCCUUGCCGCUGGUGGCAGGUUUUACUUUGUGAGGUGUAGGUUCUGCUGCCGGUGACACCUCAUGAGUUUCUUUUUAAUUUGAAUUAGUAAUCACACAAUUGAAUUUAUAUUUCUAUCAGCAUAAUUUCAUGUCCCCUUUCCUAUUUUCUGCAGGUACACAUGAAUCUAUGAUCCAGAUUCUAGCUACACCCUUUACUACAACGAUCUCAAGCUUUACUGAAAAGUGUACUGUUUAUAUAGUUGAUAUCUUUAAUUCAUAUGGUCGUCCGCUGGAUGAUCACUGGUCUUCGGUUCAUACGGUGACUGGCUGGAAGCUUGCUGUUAUGUUUGGUUCAUAUGGUGGUCGACUGGAAGCUCGCAGUCUGAAUGAUCUCAUUGUCUAUGGCCGCCAAUACACACUUUUCAUUACUACCAGCCAGGGGUUCACGGGCCAUCAUGAUGAUAUACUUGGUUCUUUAAAGAAGAAUGGUAAGAACUAAGGAGGGUUGUCUUGUCCAAGAGCUCUACCGCGAUGGCAUCGCCACUCAGUGAUGCCUCAGCAGGAAGGCUAAUCACGGGGAGGCGUGACAUGGGUGGACUAAAAAGCUAAUUUGGUGCCCUCUCUCUUUGCCUCUUGUUUCCUCCAGCACCUUGAUUUUGAUGGUUAAUAUAUUGAAUUUCUAAACAUCUUUAAUUUAUAAGGAAUAUAGUAGUUAUAUGCUUUUCAUUUAUGAUAGAGAGAUUGAACCUAGGUGUCUUGCUUGCUGGUUUGCAGGAGGCCCCCCUGUCUGCUGUCAAAUGUGGAACGCCUUUAUGUCCUGAUCAUGUGAAAAGGUACCCUGUUGCAGUUUCUCUGUCUUCACGAAUUACUAUCGAACUGUAAGCCUGUUCUGAACUCUAAGCCCCAUGUAAAUCUGAUGGAAGAUUGGGCCAUUUAAUUUGAACCAAAAGGGUAAUAUACUCUCGAUUGCUUGAAUCUGUCCAGACCUGAAAAAUAUAUAUACUUUGAAAGCUUGAAAUAUGAGUAUGUAACUGAAGUAGUAGACAUUUCUUGUUCUUGGUCGUCACAGUUUUUGUUUAUUCCAUUAAAAAGAGAUGGAUUACAAUUACUUGACACACACACCCACACCCGGGCACAAGGUCUGUUAGUCCUUUAAAUUGAUUAUAUAUGACAUAAAAAGAGGCUGGAGCAUAGAUUGGGGUGACAUAAAUAUAUGAAUUGUUCAGAAAAUAACAAAUGGAACUCCUGGACACUGCCACCUCUGCAUCCACCUUGCUCCGCAUAGCAGCAUGUGUGUGAAAGCGGGGACAGGUGACCACGAGCAGAUGGCGUGAGCGGCAACGGCAACAUGCACGGUGCACAAAGUUCGGUAAGAUGGGCGUGACCUCCCCGUAGGCGUUUUAGGAUGGCGUGUAUAACGGCUUGGAACGUGCCUGCCCGACACACAGAAGGUAUGCCUCGGAGCACGCCGGCGGCAACAUGCACUGCGAGGCCCAAAGCAACCCAGCCAGUACAGAGCCCCUCCGUACAUGAGGAACCCUGCCACCGAGGGAGCAAGCAACGGCGACGCGUAUGAGAGCUCAGCCAUGGUGGCCCGCGCGCCGUACGGGAGGAUCACGUUCGUGCUAGAGGGAAGCAACGAGCACAUCGGCGGCAAAAGGAGGUGUCCAGGAUCUGCACCGACACAAGGUGUCUCCGCAUAGCAGCAUGUGUGCGGCGGCAUGGACAGGUAACCACAUGCAGAUUUUGAGGAGCGGCACGAGCAUCAAGCAAUGGUUGAUGCCAAGGGAUUAUAGCAAGCAACUCUAGGUGGGUGAGUUCUUUCUUCUUGCAUGAAAUUGUUCUACUGAUUCCUCAAUGCUCUGUUCAUGACUUUGUUCUUGUUUUAUCCUUUUUUUACUUUCCAAUUUCGAUGCAAUGGAUAUUGAUUGUGGUAGUUUAGAUAGCACCUUGUAUUGCUUUGGUUUUAAUAAAGUAAACUAGAGCA